UUUCCACGGUUCAUCCUUUUGUUUCUUCUUCUUUUACAAAACCGAACGCAUAUGAAAGAAUAGGGCAAGCGUACAACUUCAUUUCCUGACAUCUUCUUGCUUCGGUUUCUUCAAAGAAAUCAAAGACAACAACCUUAAGAACUUAGCCUUAUCUUUUAUUCCUUGUGAGAAGCUCUCUUAGUGAUAUACAUGCCUCUUUCUCCUUCGACCCUAGGGCUAUCUUACAAGGAUUUGAAGUGGUUUUCCAAAUAUUAAAGAUGCAAGUUGAUUCCUAGUGUGGUGGAGGUUAAACAAGGUUGUCGUACGUGGAUUUGAACCCCGAACCGUGAGCUCAGUGGGUUGCCCUUGGUCCCGGACCAAGUGGGAUUGAGGCAUUCUGUUGAAUAAUGAGUUUGGAAAAUAAGUUGUUGUGGAGCUAAGUGGAGGAACAUAUUGAGGAGGUAGCAGUGGCACAGGAGUGGCGGGCAAGAGGCCCGUAGGAUGAGUCAUGGGAGCAUUGUCAUUAUUUGUUCAUGAUAUAUAUAUUUUGCCUAAGUCUAGUUAGUUAUUAUGUCAUUCGAUGUUAUGUUUAAAGUUGUAAAUUCAAGUUCAUUUUUCAAGUUGUAAAUUCAAGUUAUGAAUAUGUACGUUGUUAUAUUUAAAUGAGAUGUUGUAAGUAUACCUGAAUAUUGAUGUAAUAUGAUGG